UUGAUCUGUUGACUGAUAACCAACUUUUGUCUGUUACAGAAAAAAUAGGGAUUUGUAUCAUUUGUAGUUUAUAUAUUAAUGAAGUCCCAAUCACGCGAUGAAAGAAGACCCGAGAGCUGCCCUACAAAGUCAGAUCAACAGUGAUGAUAUAAUGUCAACAAUGGCGGAUCAGACGAAUUGAAAGAGGACUUUACAACUAUGAUGAAGGACAUCAAUAAGAAAAAGGAUUUGAUGUGAUUGCUAGACAGGAAGUUACCUAUCCACUGGAGUGUGUGAUAAGAACUCUAAAGAGGAAACUGAAAGAUAUGGGCGGAUCCACUCUCCACUCUGCUGUAUGGCCGUACCCAACUGGACCGGUCAACUUACAAGAUAUCAUGGGUGCUGGGUAACGUACUCCAGCAUCUGUCGACUGGAUCUGUGUUGUGGCUUAUAUUCGUGAAUUGUUAGCCAAGACUGCUAAAAACAGUGUUAUUCAGCAUAAAUGCAUGUGUUUUUCAAGUAGGUGGAUUGACUUUCCAAUGUAUUAUGUAACUUUAAAUCACUAUGUAUAUUUUUUAUCAAUUGUAUAUGAAUAUUCUAGGUCUUUGUGUACAUAGGUUAGUUUGUGAAGACAAUUAGCAAACAGUAUGGAAGACAUCUACUAGUAUAAACAAUAUAACAAGAUGUAUACAUGUCUGCUUUGCAAAUACUGAUUUUGGUUCACAAACUACUGGGUUGUGUCAUCAUUCAAAGCUAUUUAUGACUAUUUUUACCUGACUUUAUCCUGAGUAUUGCAAUAUUGUAUCUGACUAGAACUUGAGUUGUGGACAAACUCAUGCUUUGCUCUGUUUUGGGUGCCCUUGGUCAUUGCGACUGUGUGUGUGUGUGUGUGUGUGUGUGUGUGUGCGCGCUUACGGAGAGUGUACAACCAUUGAUUGAGGCUAGAUGCUUCUUACAUUUACUCUUCGCAUAUACUUGAACUUAUUGAUAUGAUUAUGAACUUUAUUCAUUUUGUUGUGUCGAAACAUUUUUUGGUAGUUUGUACCCGGUGUGGUUUGGAUUCUUGAGUCGAUCCCCACAUCGUAAACUUAGGCCCUAAUAUUUUUCCAUUGUUUUGUCCUUUCAUGAGUCAACAUAUCCUUGACUACUAUGGUAUAUGUGGCUGAUUGAUUCCUCCUCAUGACUGAAUAUAUUCUUCUGGUCUGUACCUGUUGUCGUGAGUUUUUCGAGUCCGCUCAGUUGUCGUACACUUAGGCUAUGACAUUUUUUCUCUUCUCUUUUUAAGAUUUUGAAGGUUUAAUUGUAUGGAUGUUGAUGUACAGUUUAUAAUUCUAGUAAUUUACAUUGUCUCUGUAUUUAUUUCUAUAGUUUAGUAGUGUAAUGUAGUAGUUUUGACUUUGUAUUAUUUGUAUUGUGACAGUAUGUUACACAAAUCUGAAAACCAUAUCUUGAUAUAUGUAUAGAUUAUGACUUGUGUAGUAGAUAAUUUUCUUAAGUUUUCUGUAAUAUGUUAUGUAUCAGAUACUUCUAUACAUCUAUCUGCUAUCCUGGGCAUCAUUUUGUAGUGUUUGGCAGACCUUAUAAUCUGUCACAAAUUAUUGUAAACACCCUGCUCCCAAAUUUUGUGAGGGGGAUAUUGUAAUGGGAUAUCCUUUUCUAACAUAACCUUUUUCUAAAGAAGUAGCCGAUACCAGGAUUAAUCGCGAAUCUGGUAUAGGCGAACAAUCUCGACUGUUUCACUGAAAGGAUUUCAUUUGAUUUUGUAUAUGAUGUAGUAUAUUUCAGACUAAAAUGUAUAAAAAUAAAUUAAUUUGUUACACUCUAUAUGUAUGGCUAAAAUUACUCUUCUUUUGGAAAUAUUUGAAAUUACGAAAUAUCUGGCAUACUUAAAAUUCAUAGUAUUAUUUACACAAUCUAACGCUAAUUAUUAAAUUUAUUUCUGUAUUCAUUCAUAAAAUACUGUUAUAUGUUGGUGAUGAUUCUUCUUUUGUCAAGGAAGCUUGUACACCCUUUGGAAUAUCGUGAGUAGAGCAGAAUGUAAGUUGUAGUGGGCAUGCCUCUGAUUUGAGACAGACAUAUUUAUAUGAUCGACACUAACAAUGUAAUUUGGAAUAUUAAGUGGAAAUUGUAAAAACCAAGUGAUAUUGGAAAAUGAGACAAAGAAUAAAAUUCAAGAAUAAUA